rnacentral:rRNA from 1 species
UACAGAGGUCCUAAGCGUUGUUCGGAUUCACUGGGCGUAAAGGGUGCGUAGGUGGUUGGGUAAGUCUGAUGUGAAAUCUCCGGGCUCAACCCGGAAAUGGCAUUGGAUACUAUUCGGCUAGAGGUUUGGAGGGGGGACUGGAAUUCUCGGUGUAGCAGUGAAAUGCGUAGAUAUCGAGAGGAACACCAGUGGCGAAGGCGAGUCCCUGGACAACACCUGACACUGAGGCACGAAAGCUAGGGGAGCAAACAGG